GAUUCCCACGGCUGACAGAAGUGUGGAGGCCCCUCAGUCUCAGACACACUUUGAGAUCUGGCAGAGCCUGGAGCUCCGUACUCUGCUGAUGGUGUCUGCUUCCCUCAGACCAAGUUGUUAUUAGCAGAAUUCUGGAGCCAUGGUGUCUCAAUCAAUCCAAUUUUCCUGGUGUCCUGAUAUUACCCCUGGGCUACUGGCUUCGUGUUUUGAGUUGAUUUUGGGAGUAGAGCACAGCAGCCUGGGCUUGAUUGUCACUUUGGCAGCUACAGCAUUCACUGCAGCUGUGAACGGUAGCAGUGAAAGCAUACAUCAAUGACUUGCUCCUGACGAGAAUGGGAAUGCUUCUAACAUUUCACAUUCAGGAGAAGGAGCCUUGGAGAAUUCGUUGAAUAAUUGCCCGUAUUUUGGGAUUAUUUGGAAGAGUUAAUAUGGUGAUUCGUUUUCCCUGACCACUUGGGGGAACUGACCCACAAAACUGCCUGCCUUAGAACGGUAGAGGGUGGAUUGAGCUUUAAAUACAUU
rnacentral:lncRNA from 10 species